rnacentral:lncRNA from 1 species
AGAGAGAGAGAGAGAGAGAGAGAGAGAGAGAGCAUACGAUGAGAAGGUGCUCUUCGUCGAGGGCAAUGUGGGCUCUGCAUUGACGGCAGAGGAAGAAGUGGACGUCUGGAUUUUUAUCGAAUUCAAUCAUUGUUCAAGCUCUUUCUUUAUCAAUCAAACAGCUUUCAAUUUUCUGACAAUUCAAAGGACUGAAAAUUUACUUUGGAAAGAUUGAGAUAUAGAGGAUGAGACAAAAAUUAAUGAAUGACAGUUACCUAGACAGAGUAUGGAAUGGGCGGCUGAUGACUCAGGUUCUUGAACUGGGUUUGGGAAUAUAUGAGAGAGAGAGGUGGUGAAAAACUUUUGCAGUGACUCAGUAUAUAUACAAACGGGAGGAAAGAAUAGCUGGCUGAGAGAGAGAGAGAGACAGCAGGCUUCGUUUAACUGCCAAAAUGACAGUUAGGGUGCAGAGGAUUUGGUACAGAGCGAACCAUAAUUGCUAACCUGUAGCCGCAAGUGGACUAUAAUUGUUAACCCGUAGCCUUCAAACGAAUAAGUUUGCCACAUUAGCCCUUCCGUAUAAUUUUCCUUCGAGAGUAUGAAACAUGGCGCCGUACACUCUUCCCCAACCUAGAUCUUACAAUUCCCUUCCUUACUUUCCCCUUACCCGCCAUCAACCAACCAUCAUGACCUCAUCCCCACUAUUCAAUUCAACCACUGUCGUUUUUCGACCAAGCUAGCUACGUAACCUUCUAGCAACCUAGGGCUUCAAUCUAUUUGCGUUUGCCACACACAGGAACGCACAUAAAAAUUAAAUAAAAAAACUAGAGCUUUAUGUAAACACUCCUCAACCCAGCCCCCGGCGAAUCAUUUUGUGUUGGUGAAGAUGUGAUGUUGCCAACGGCUUUGAUUGGGUGAUGACAAAGGCGACAAGACUCUGUGCGUGUCUGAGAGAGAGAGAGAGAGAGUGGGUGGGUGUGAAGUGUAUUAUGGUUGUUGUUGGCUGGUAAUUUCCUUUUGGGGGUGGGGGGGGGUGGGGGGAUGGGCAAGUGAAGGCCUUGAGAGGAGGGAUUUCAGGGUGGGAUUUCAUCAAUGGUAAAUGUUGAUAUUGGCUCACUUCUCAGGCCCAAGACCAACCUCCAUGCUCAGGUCCAAGCCGCCAGGCUCAAGCCCAAGCCCAAGCCAAACACUGAUACCUUCCUUAUGCUCCUCCUAGAUUGAUGGAAUGAGAGAUUAGACUUUUUCCACCUACUCCCACCCACCCCCUCCCAGUUGUGGUCUCCCUCGUGAUUAUGUCUAUUCCCUUUAUUAUUUCUUGUCCCCUUAAAGGGCAAGUUGUCUAUUUGUUGCUGCUGAGAGCAGCGAGAAUUGAGGGAGAAGAGCUGAAAGCUAAGAAAGAGAGGCAGUAAAAGAGGAAAAAGAAAACAAACUGCCAAGCUGUGGAAAUGUCAAUCUUGAGGGCUGUGGAAAAUUAGCUGUGGAAAAUUAGGCAAUCUUUGUUCUCUAUAAGAAGCUGCUGCUGAGGAAGAAAAGGGAAAGAAAGGCAGCAGUGAAGCCAGAGAAGCAGAGGGGGCUGCUAUCUGUGCUUUCUCCUCUCUCUCUCUCUCUUCUCUCUCUCUCUAAAAUAUAUGGGAGAUGUAGAGUUAGGCAGAUAGAGUGUGAGGAGUGGUGGUGGCUCUACCACCAGUGAGGAGAUAUAUAUCUGUAUUUAGAUUUCUCAGUACAGUGAAAUCUCUGCCAGCCGAGACGUAUGCGAUUUGCAGAUAAGAGUGUGAGGGAUGGUUAUGAUCCCGUUGGCGCUGCCAGCAUCCCAGUCAUCAGCCUUGUUAGCACCCAACCCCAUGACAUGUCAUCCCAGUUAAUUAGGAAAAGGUACGUGGGCGUCGGUGGCUGGUGGAUGCCUCUGGUAAUUGGCGGCGGUGGUUGUGGUGGUUGGUGGUGGGGAAUUAUUUGUUUAAGGACAAAAGUGAGAGUCAAUCAAUACUCUUAAUAUGCAAAUUGUGAUUAACCCUAAUCCAUACUAGUACUAUAAUAAUCUUCUUAUGAAAAUUACCUCGUUUGAUAUAAUUACCUCGUUUCAACUGCCAGGAUGACCCUCUCUAAUAUAGAAGUAAUUUGUUGUUGUUGUGGGGGAUUUGGUACAGAGCGGACCACAACUGUUAACCUGUAGCCGCAAGCGGAAUUAGACCCGCUCUUCUCUCUUUUUCCCUUCUUAUUCUUCUCUCUCUCUCUCUCUCCUCUCUCUCUCUUCUUUUCGUUUAUUUUUGUCAAGCGAUUGGACAAAAUAGGAAAAAAAGGGUAAUUUUAUAACAAAUAAUUACAGUUUUUUCCUUAAGGGCUUCUUUGACCGGAAUAUGGAGGGGAGACCUUUUAACUUGUUUGGAUACUUUUUUUUAGAAUGAGUGAAUAAGGUGGGGAUAAAGAAUAAAAUAUAUAUAAGAAACACAAUAUUAAAUAUUUAAAUAUUAAAAUUAUAAUCUUUUAUUUCUCUCUAUAUAUUAAUGUACAUUUUGUUUUCUCUUUAAUAUAUUUUUUCUUAUCCUCCACCCCUUACCCCCGGAUAAUUUUAUUUUAGGGUAUAGGCCACCCAAAAAUUACCUCUCUAUCCAUCUCCUGAGGUAUAAAUUAUCCGUUUCUAUAUUCUCAGCCAACGCCGAGAAAAAAUUAUCCGGGAAAAAUUUCUCCCCUUCAAUCGAAUAGCCAAACGACCUCUAAGUGGAUACCUAGAAUCUGCCCCCCCUUUGAGUCACCGAUUCCCUUUGACCUUCAACAAGUUUGCCACAUUGAGUGUUUGCAAUUCGGUGGGCAAUCACCCACCUCCGUAUAACUAUAUUUACUAGUCACUUUUUUUUUUUACUCACUUCAUCAUUUAUGUAUUUUUAAUUCUAUUAUAAUUCAUUUCUAUUUCUCUAAUGAUCUAUUUUUUUCCAAAGACCCUACCUAAAUGAUUUUUUUUUAAAUUAUAUAUAAAAAGUAUUUCCCUACUCCCUCUCGCAUAAGAUCGAAAAAAUAUACAAUUUUUAAUAAAAAAGUUUAAUUAAAGACAAAAACUCAAGAAAUUAAAAAUCAAAAAGACAAUAAUCCAGAACUUUGACCUAAUCACCAUUUUAUCUAAAAAUUAAUCAUGACGUAAGUUUUUAACUAUCACCUGAUUUUCGUUCUUUGAUAUCAUUACAAUUAAAGAUACGAAAAUGUACUUGAAUAAUGGUCCUUACGCUGACCUUUAAAACAAAUUAGGCUGUAUUUGGUUUGAAGGAAUGGUCAUUUCAUUGUAGUAAUCAUUCUAGUGUUGGGUUGAUCAAAAAAUAAUAAAAUAGUCAUUCGAUUUAGAAUGAUUAUUAUCAGCACAUAUGAAUAACUAUAAUAACAGAAUGUCCAUUUUAUUUCCAUCUCAUUCUAUUUCUUACAAAAUAAAAAUGAAUAUUCUUAUAUCAUUUUAUUCUAAUUCCAUACAAAAUUCAUUUCAUCCAAUUAAACACAAUUUUCAUGCAAGACCAAAACAGUAACUCACAUAUGAUUAUGAACACAACCACAUCUUCUAUAACUUCUACAUAUUAUUUGAAAGUAAAAGUAACGAUGACCAUGGAUUCAAUACUUCUAAGCCCAAAUCACACAUUUUCAAAUUUAUUACGGUUACUCUGCAUCAACAAUUUGGUUUCCAUUCCACAGGUUGAGCUUAGGCCUGUUAAACAAGAUCGUUUGAAAUAAGUGUCAUGAUAUAUAAACAGCAGUAAAAAUAUUGGCUAGAGUUAUGUUAAAAAAAAAAAAAGACUUACAGAUGUAGAAGGAAAUCUCCCUCUCUCAUCUCACCAUUGCUCGGGCAUUCCAUCUGAAAAAAAUAGGGUUUCUUAAAGGGAGUUGUUUUAAGAAAGAUAAUGUAAGGAAUUUCAGAAUUUGGAGAAUUUGAUAGUCUUACGAUUUUUACACCCAAUCGCUCACCGCAGUUGUUACAGUAAACAUCCGACACUUUGUGAUCAUUUCCAGCCUUUCGAUCUUGCUCUGGACUGAGCGUGUGAACAUUGGCGGCACUGCAUGUGAGAGAAACAUUUUUUUGGUGAAAGUUGAAUUAUUUCAAUUGCAAUAGACCCAUCAUUUUGUUUGAGAAGCAUGAACAAUUAAUCAACAAUGGCUACAAAAUUUCUUAAAAAUAAAAAGAAGGGUUAAUUUCACUUUUAAUCCUUUGAGUUUGACUCAAGUUUCACGAACUAUAAGGACUAAAGUGAAACUUGGGUUAAACUCUAAGGAUAAAAGUGAAAUUGACCCAUUAAUCAAUUAUGCUUAACUUAUCUGGAGAAAAUUACAAAAUAACAAAUUAAAUUCUAUAAUUUUAAUUGUAAUAAAUUAAAUCUUUGAGUUUCGAUCAUUUGGUUAUAACUAAAAUUGAUCCAAUUAGAGUUAUUUUUAAGUUAAAUAUUCAAGAUAUUUUUUUAAAGUUUUGCUUGAAAAUGAGUCUUAAUUGAAUCGAUUAGGACUUUUAAAGGUGAUAACGUUGAAAAUAUCAUAUUUUUAAUUUUUUGGAAAUAAUCAAUUGAUUCCACUCUAAUGAAAUAAAAACUAACAGAGGAUUUAAUUGUGAUUAAAUCAAAAAUUAGAGUUUAAUAAUUAUAAUUAAAAAAUAUAGGAACUUAAUUUGUUAUCAAGAUCAAACACUAGUUCUGGUUUUUUGUAAUUCUCCACUUAUCUAUUAAAAUUAUAAUUUUAUAAAUAAAAAAAAAAACAGUAUCCAAACAAGCUAAUUUAACAGUUUUGAGUACUUACACAUUUGAAAGAUGCAUCCGAACAACUCAGGUUCCUCCUGAAUAUCAAAUAAGGUAUAUAAGUAGUGACAACAAACAAAACAUAGAAGCAAGUACGAUUCACUAAAAAACAAAACACAAUCGAGAAAAUUUAUCUUGAGAUUUUAUAUGUGUGUGUAUAUAUAAUUGACCAAAAAGUAAAAAUAAAAUAAAAAUGAAAUGAAAACUGACUAAGAAAAAAAUUAGGAAGAUAAAAAUAUAAUCGUUUAAAAGUUUGUACUUCCAAUUAUCAUCAAAAAAUUUAAAAUAUCUAAAAUAAAAAGCUAAAAUUAUAUCUGCAAAACCUUAUUACAUGUUUACACAGUACAAGCUAGGCACUUUAGGAAUGAAACAAUAUAAUUCAUAAAUAUUGAUUGCUUGACUAUAAAAAAAACUCAAAUAAGAAGAAAAAAUAUUACAACAAUAUAUAUUUAAAUAUAAUAUAAAAAAUUAUACCAUCAUAACUCAAAUGAUAAAUUUAUCACAAUAAUAUACAUUUUAAUAUAAGUUAUGAAUUAUCAAAUAAUUAUCUAUAUGAUAAUUUUAUUUGCAUUGAUAUACGUUUAAAAUCUAAAUUAAGAAUUAUUCCAAUAUAAAAUACACACAAAAAAUAUUAAUAUUUAUUGAUUGACAUGAGAUGGGAUGGGAUAUGGGCGGGGAGGGGUGGGCCCUUGGGGAUUGACUUGUUUUUCUUAUUUUACACGCAUAAUGACACACGUGUAAGGGCAUAUUCGGAAUUUUGAUGGAACAGGGAUGAAGAGCCAGUAUGGUAGGCUCCGUUUGGUAAUGCUUAAAAGUCAAGUUUUUUUUAAGUUAGUUAUAAAAUGUCAAGAAUUUUUGACUUUUUUGUUUUUGUAACUUUACUUUAACUAAAAUUAAGCAAAAAAGAAAAAACGAAGAAACAAAAAAAGCCAAUUCUGAUUGACUUUUUAUUUAUUUUAAGCCAAAAAAUUCAAAAAAAAAAUUAAAAAAAAUUAGUGCCAAACGAAGCCUCCUGUCGCUUAUGUUUUGGACACACAUGGGACAACAGAUGAGUCAUAAGCUUGGGAACAUAAGGAUAAAAGUUGAAUAUAUAUAUUAUAUACUUUCAAUUGGGACACUUUAGAAAGUUCAAAGUUGAAAACAUAUGUCUAACCACAUAUAUAUACUUUCAAUCUGGGACUCUCUCUCAAGUUCAAAGUUGAAAACAUAUGUCUAACAUAAAUAAACAAAAAUUGAAUGAAAACUGAAAAAAAAAAUUAGAAAGAUAAAGAUUGAAUAAUUUUAAAGUUUGUAUUUUCUAAAAUUACCAUUCAAAAAAAAAAAGCUAGGCACUUUAGGAAUGAACAAUAGAUCACUUGACUUUAUUUUGUUUGAAAAAAAGAAUAAAUAAUUUUUAUGAAAUGCAUCCUAGAGAGAGAAGUAGAGAAGAAAAUUUAAAUAUAAAAAAGAAUAUAUAGAGAGAAGAAAAUGGAUUACGAUGGGAUGUGACUACGAACCUUGAUCAUAUUUAAUUCAAUUAUAUUGAACUCAUUACUUUUUCAUCCGUAUUCAACUCGUCUGUGCUCAACUCAAAACCGACUUUAACCCGGCCCAAAACUCGUCCGUGCUCAACUCAAAUCCAACUUUAACCCGCCCCCAAAACCACCAUUUGCAACCUCCAUUAAACCAAAGAGCAAAGCUGCAUAUCUUUUAGACAGUAUUAAAAAGGGUCCCAACUCUUAAUUUCGUUACUCCAAACUCCGCCGGAACCAAACUCCGGCACAGUUCCGGUCAAACUCCGGCAGGCUUUGGAGCAUCAACAAAUGUGUGAAAAGCUGCAUAUCUUUUAGCAACAGUAUUAAAAAGAGUCCCAACUCUUAAUUUCGUUACUCCAAACUCCGGCAGUAGCCAUUGCCAAAGUCCGGCGGGCAUUGGAGCAGCAACAAAUUUGUGAAAAGCUGCAUAUCUUUUAGCAACAUGGAAUCCAAGAGCUGAAUUUAGCGAAUAUCUCAUCAGUUUAAGCUCAACAACUAUUGUAUCGCCACCUUACACAACGUAUAAUGAGGGCACACAUACAAAGAACAAUACCAAUAACUCAUAAAAAAACUGAAACAAUUCAAAUGGGUAGAGAGAGAGAGAGAGAGAGCAUACACUGAAUGAAGUAUACUGAUAGUCUCUUUGCAAGACAAUGUGAGUUCCGCAUUUACAGAGGUAGAAUUGAUUAUCAGGUGUUUGGUCGAAUUUGGUGGGUGUAAAGGGCAAUCCCAUAUUUGCAAUCCUGAUCAAACAAAAGGAUCCAAAUUUUGUUAUUUGAAUUAUGAAUCGAGCUCAAGAAAACACUUGUAACGAUUGCCAAAGUAGACUGUACAAGAAGAAAGCAUGAGAGAGAGAGAGAGGAGAGAGAGAGAGAGAGAGAGAGAGAGGAUAUAUAUAUAUAUAUAUAUAUAUGCAAGGUUCAGGAGUGGGUGGGCCCUUGCUUUCUUGAGAAUUUUUUUAUAAAAAGAAUCUUGAGAAUUUUGUCCUUGGCGUGCUUUUUCUAGAAUGACUUUGGGUAAAACCCAUUUUAAAAAAGUCCUUGCUUUCACUGAAUAUGCCAAGAGUUUGGUGACCUUCUCAAAAUUAGUGUGGCCUCCCUUGGGUUGAUAAUUGUAUUGUAACUUUCCUUCCGUUAGUUGACCACUAAUAAGUCGACUAAAAUAUUAAUUAUGUCAGUAGGCAAUUUUUUAAAUGGAAAUCCGAUUUUAACCCUCAACCAUAUCCAUCUCUCACCAUUAAAAAAUUCAAU